UCCAACCUAAAUCUUCCAUCCCCCAACUUAAAACCGUUUCCCCUUGUCCUGCAGUUAUCUACCCGUUCAAAGAGUUGAUAAUCGCUCAUAGGGUACUCAGGAGACUUGAUGGUAGGAGAAACAUGCUCUGCCCAACCAGGAAGCCAGCUCAGCCUGAUGGAUAGCACUGUAUUUUUAGGCCUGGAGGCGACAUGGGUACAGCCACGUGUGCACAGCUUGUGUCGUGCUGCCUGGAGGUUGGCAGCACAGCCACUUAACCAGGGUCCAUGUUUCGUUGUUCUAAAAAGCAUAAAUCCGUGUGUUUUUUUUGUUUUUUUUUUUCAGUAUUUCUCAUGCAAGCUUCUUUUCCAGAAGUGCUUUUCAGAAUAUAUGUUGCUAGUUGCAUUGCUUAUGUGCUUUUGCAAAUGGGAAGAGGAGCGUAGGCUCAUGUUGAUCACACUGGAGGCAUUCUGGGAACGCCGAGACACAAGGAGUGGUGAUUUCCUUGUGAUAAGAUAGUGUUAAAUGCACUGAGUCGAAGCUGUGCAAGAGCACUUCUGGUAAAUAUAUCCUUUGCUCUUUCUUCAUAAAAAAUAGGUUCCUGGAUUCUGAUGUGCAGAGCAGGAAAGCUAUCAGCAGGAGCAAUUUGUGGCAAUUCCAUAACGGUGGUCUUGAGCCCUGGUCUGGAGUAGGAAGGAAGUAGUAGGUAAAGUUUGUGCUGUCAUCUGGUCUGGAAGUGCUGUGCUUAACAAAGCAGAUGUAAGAAAGAGGGUGAAUAUGGAGUUGUCCUCUCUAUGUAUAGUUUCCAACUUUGUUCCAGUUUCCUGUCCUGGAGCCUGCAAUGGAGCUGCUGUGCUUGAUAAUGGCUAGUGGGCUUUUGGUGAUGUACUUUGUGGAGAAACUUAACUUGUUUUACCUGAAACUGGAUACCUUGGAGCCUAAAAGCUGUUGGUGCAGAGCUCUCUUGUAGCAAAGAGUUCUGGUGCAUUGCUCGUGAGAGGAAAACCUGGAGGCACAAUUAUAACAGUGCCUGUGUCACGAGCAGCUUUCUGGCACUGCGCUCCAGCUGGCGGAGGAUGGAUUCCAGCUCUUGCUUAAAAAUAGAGAGCUUGUAUGCAUGCCAGGGAAUGGCAAAAGGGGAGGGCAGGGUUAUGCAGAGGUGUUCAGCUGAGCCUGAUUUCAUACAGAAGGAGGCUUGGGAACAAGACGUGUGGGUAGAAUGGGAGAGGCUUAAAAGAGAAGAUAAGGAGUAAUAUUAUUGGCUUCUGCUACCUGGUGGGAAGGUGUAAAGGAGAUAACUCUUGAGGUGCCCAGUGAAUGUACAAGAUGCAAGUUGCAAAGCUGGAAAGUCUGAUAAAGUAGAAGGACAAAAAGCUUUGGUGUGGGUGGUCAGAGAUGGAAACAGCCAAAGGGACUGUGUAGUACCUGUUGUUGGAGAUGUUCUGAACCAGGCUGAAUUUGCUGCUGAGGAACCUGGUCUAACUUGAAGUUCAGCUCUGUUUCCAGCAGAGCAGUAAACUGGAGACCUCCAGGAGCUGCUUGCCUGGAGAGAGAAAUGGUGGAUUCCCCAUCCCAGGAGACAAGGUCAGGCUGAAAGGGGCUCUGAGCAACUUGUUCUAGUUGUAGAGGUCCCUAUUUUUUGUGGGGAAGUUGAACUAGAUGACCUUUAAAGAUCCCUUCCAAAUCAAACGAUUCAAUGAUCCCUUCCCACAGCUUUCCAGUAGUUGAGUACUGUUUGUGGGUUGAAGUGUUGGAGGCUGACUGGAGAUGAGAAAAGGGAAUUUUGUGGUGAUAAAACUAUCAUUCACGUGACCCUGGAAGAAUGUUUCUUCUAUGGGAAGGGAUUGAUACCACAUUAAGAUUGAAUAUUGAUGCUCCAAGGAAGAUAUCUCCUGCUGGUUGAGGCAGCUGUGUAAGCAGCUGAGUUUACCUUAAAGGGAAAUUUUCCCAUCUCCUAGAGUGUGGCAUACAGUCUGUAAUAGUGGGAUGGAUUGGACAGUGCUGUUAGAGAGUUCUCUGUGUGGCUAAUUUAAAGCCCAAUUGCACAUGGUGGGGGAAUACUGCUCAACAGCCAGGAUUCGAUAUUUGUCUUGUGAUCAUUUGGCAUCAGUGUUCCCAUUGCUUAAGCUGAUGUCUUUGCCAAAAGGAUCUCUGGCUUCAAUUUCACUCCUCUGGGAGGAAGCAUCAGUGCAAUUCAUACCAGUCUUCCUGGAAGGGCUGCAAUGUCCUUAUGAGGCUGCAAAGAUGACAUUUUCUUUUUAGUUCAGUUACCUUUGGAAGCAAAGCACAUGCAUACAGCUGUGUGCAAGUCAAUCUUGUUUCUCCUUUUCAAAACAGCCUUGAAAUCAUUGGUUUCCAUCAACUUUGACAGAGAUGUCUAAGGUGUGAGUUACUAUGUAUAUUUAAAAAACCAAACAAAUGAAAAAGCUUCAUAUAAGUUCAAUGACAGCAAGUGACUGCAGAAGAAAUAACGUGCAGCUUGCCUUAGAAGGUGGAGCUGUCACCAGAAUGAACUCCUGCUUUUCAGGAACAGAGCAGCAAGCAUUUGGCCGUGCCCAGUUUUCAUUGUUUCUCUAAGCCGUCACGCUGGAAGAGAUUAACUAGGAAGUGAAUUUUCUCCGAAAGCCCAUCUUGGGGGUGGUGAAGGGAAGAGCCUUGGCACUGACCUUGGUCAGAGUGCCUUGGGGAAGGCAGCGUGACCUGAGCAUGGAAACAUUAACCUGGGGCCGAGCAGUUGGUUCUGAUGGCAGCUGGGAGAGUUGCUUUGUCAGAGCUGAGCCACCCCAGUGCACGCUGCCCUUGUGCUGUGUGUCAUCCAGGUUCAUUUUUAGCAGCAGGGAGGAUUGCUUCUCCCAUUUUUUCCUGCUGUAUUUGUCACCUGCUCCUAAACUUUCAAAAACUUCCUUGCCAAUCAUUUUUUCUGUUGGCAUCCUUCUCUGCACCUAUGCUUGUUUUCACUAAUGUGUUUGGCAUCCUUCUGCAGCUUCUCUCCUUUCUUUUUCUUUCCACUCUGGAACUCAAUAAGCAAAUUGUGUGGCUCAAGUCAUUAAGUAGCUGUGUUGCUAUGUUUUCUGUGCUCUUCAGAGAAGCAUGGAAACCUGUCUUUGUUCAGUCCCAGGAGCACGACACGCCGCUGCAGCUACCAAAGAACAGCUUGCUUGUGGCACAUCGAGCUGCAGCUUGGUUUAAUCCUUGCUUGAUACGCUUUUGAGAUUUUAUUGUUUCUCUAUAAUUAAGUGCUACAGUAGAGCUGAAAGAAAUGAUGAAUUAGCAGGAGAGGGGGGUGCAGGGAGAGCAGGUGGUGAUCGAACCAAGAGAAGCGGGAGCAGCAGGGAAUUGAUGGGGAGGAGCCUUGGGUUGAGAAGCUUCCCUGCCAUGUGCCCAGAAGGAUUUAGUUUUGGAUUUCAUUACUGUUCAAAUAACGUCCAUAGGAGACUGAAGCCUCAGAGGCUGGGUAUUGUCCAAGCACUCAGUGAGAAGCAGUGUUUGCCCUGAAGUUCUAGCAGGCCUGGAUGAGAGAGUAGGACAGAGCUGUAGUGUGGUCCUGUUUCUAAUUAUUCUGCAUCCAUUGUUUCCAUUUUCAUUGUGUAGUAACAUCUUUAAAAAUAAAUGAGAACACAAAACCA